rnacentral:rRNA from 1 species
AUUGAACGCUGGCGGCAUGCCUUACACAUGCAAGUCGAACGGCAGCACGGGUGCUUGCACCUGGUGGCGAGUGGCGAACGGGUGAGUAAUACAUCGGAACAUGUCCUGUAGUGGGGGAUAGCCCGGCGAAAGCCGGAUUAAUACCGCAUACGAUCCACGGAUGAAAGCGGGGGACCUUCGGGCCUCGCGCUAUAGGGUUGGCCGAUGGCUGAUUAGCUAGUUGGUGGGGUAAAGGCCUACCAAGGCGACGAUCAGUAGCUGGUCUGAGAGGACGACCAGCCACAACUGGACCGGAACCCGGCCCAGACUCCUACGGGCGGCCACAGGGGGGAAUUUUGGACAAUGGGCGAAAGCCUGAUCCAGCAAUGCCGCGUGUGUGAAGAAGGCCUUCGGGUUGUAAAGCACUUUUGUCCGGAAAGAAAUCCUUGACUCUAAUACAGUCGGGGGAUGACGGUACCGGAAGAAUAAGCACCGGCUAACUACGUG